rnacentral:rRNA from 1 species
UACGUAGGGGGCAAGCGAUGUCCGGAUUUACUGGGUGUAAAGGGCGCGCAGGUGGGCUUGAUAGUUAGAGGUGAAAUCCUGUGGCUUAACUGCAGAACUGCCUUUAAUACUUCAAGUCUUGAGUGCGGAAGAGAGAGACGGAAUUCCAGGUGUAGUGGUGAAAUACGUAGAUAUCUGGAAGAACACCAGUUGCGAAGGCGGUCUCUUGGUCCGUAACUGACACUCAGGCGCGAAAGCGUGGGGAGCAAACAGG